GACGAACGCUGGCGGCGUGCCUAAUACAUGCAAGUCGAACGCAGUGGGGCCGGGUGCGUAACUCGUGGGUAACCUCCCAUCAGAGGGGAUACCACUUGGAGCCAGGUGCUAAACCGAUACUGAUGGAUGCACCCGCGGUGCAUUAGCUAGUUGGUGAGGUACCGGCGCAGCAAGGCCACGAUGCAUAGCGGACCUGAGAGGGUGAUCGGCCACACGGGGACUUGGACACGGCCCAGACUCCGACGGUAGGCAGCAGUAGGGAAGCUUCGGCAAGGGACGAAAGUCUGACCGAGCAACGCCGCGGGAGUGAAGAAGGUUUUCGGAUCGUAAAACUCUGUUGUUAGAGAAGCGGUAUCUAACCAGAAAGCCACGGCUAACUACGUGCCAGCAGCCGCGGUAAUAC
rnacentral:rRNA from 1 species